AUGAAUAUCAUUGAAUGCACUGCAUGCAACCAACCAAGAUUAAUUUCUAUUGAUCCAAUUACAUGCAAUAUUUAAAACUUGAUGCAAUCCACGGAAUACGAAGCGACGUAGCACCUUAACCGAUGAGAAUCAAUUAUAGAAUGAUGAAUGUUUUAUUAUCCUUGGUCUCUCUGUUUAGGUGAUGAUCACUAUGGGAUGGAGGGAGUAGUAUUAAGGCUGCGUUUGGAAUCAUGUGUUCCCAACACAAGUUGUGUGCACGGAAAACGGAGCGAUCCAUUAGCGUAUGAUUAAUUAAGUUUUUUGCUAUUUUUUUUUUCAAAAAUGGAUAAAUAUGAUUUUUUAAAGCAACUUCCAGAUAGAAACUUUUUACGAAAAAUACACCGUUUAGCAGCUUGAAAAGGGUGCGUGCGGAAAACGAAAAGGAGAGUUGGGAACAAUGAGUUCCGAACACAGCCUAAAUUUAUAAUGCAAUUUCAUCUUAAUUGGAUGGGUAGACUUAAAAUGAAUAGUCUAGUAUUUACCAAAUGAAAUAAAAAAAUGAUGUCUUUAAAAAUGAAAUUUACAUUUGAACGUUGUAUUUUCAAUUUCAAAUAUGACAAUAUUCCCAAAAAAUUUCAAAUAUGACAAAAGAAAUUGAUUCAUUCAUUGCUUGCCUUACAUACAACCAUAUGCAAGUGAAAAAAAUAUCUUCUGUUCCUUCUUUUAGAUCAUUACAAGUAAGAGGGAUAUUAGGCAUUAGAUCAAUUUGGAAUCAAUCGCCUAGACAAUCUUGGAGAACCAUAAAAAAAUCCAAUCGAUAUAUAUAGUUCUUUUUCUAAAGAAAUAAUGAUUAAUAAUAUUAUAUUGUCUUGCAAUUAAAUGGUGGGCGAAAAAUUUGGUGUUAGCUAUUCAUUGGAGGGCAGAAACAUUUCCACACAAGGCUAAACAUAGAUGGUCCUGAAUCAUCUUUGAUUCAUGAACUUUCUGAUUUUAUGUGUUGGUAUUAUUUGGUGGUUAUCAUGAUGUGGUCAUGUCAUGUAAAACUGCUAUAGUUGACGGUUUUUGUGAUAGUGUAUUAUAUGGGUCUCAUCUUUUCACUUAUGCUUAUGCUUAUCAACCAAAAUUUGAAUUUUCGACCUUAAAUUUGGAGUUAAUUUUGGGGUUUUUUCAUCGAAGUUUAUUUUUCAGCUUUUGUUUUUAGAUCGCUUAGAACACGUAUAUAAAAGUUUUAUUCACAAAUUAUUUUUCGUUUGCAAAUAUGCCGUUUCGCUUAUUCCCCGAAUAAGCGAAACGAUGGGUCGCAUAGUAGAUGUUUUUGUAGCUCGAAACCAGAUGUGCCAAAGAUUAGAAAAAAGGGGUAUUGUUUCCAUUGCAUUUUACUUAAUGUUUUGGACAUCGUCACAAUCUCCAAAGAUAAAAAGGUAUUGUUUCAUCAUUACUUGUUCUAACUAUAUAUAUAAUUAUAGAAAUUGCUAAAAAUAUAACUAUAUGAAUGUGUUUUUCAUGGUCUACUAAUACCGUUUCCAUUUUCAUAUAUCAAAUCCUAAUACUUUUGCAUCAAUUAAUGUUGUAUGAUAUUGAGGUUUGAUUGCACCAUUCUAGGAUGUCAUUUUUUAUAUGAGAAAGGAGGGAGUAAUUUGGAGCAGAUCAGCAGAGGACAAAGGACUAGUUUGGAACAUGGAUACAGCAAGAAAAUGAAAAAGAAAAUUGACACCAAACAACCAAGACUACCCAGGAAAUUAACUUUGAUGUGCUAUUUUGAGGUCCUAUAAAUCUUUUUAUUGCUUUUGAAACCUUGCAAGAAGAAUUUAAGUUGGCAUCUAUCAUUUCAUUAGUUUUCUACAAGCCAAAUAAUGUAAAAACUCAAAAUUGUAAUUUAGUCUGUAGUUCUCAUAUGUUCAAACUGGAUCGGAAAAGUGAUCAUGCCUUUGGGAAGGAGAAGCAGAUACGGGUUAUAGUAUACUUUAUGAUGGCAUAUUUAUAGAAUAAUUCCAAAAACCACAUGUACCUAAAAUAUAUAUGGUGAUGUUCACGUAAAUGUGGCGGGGGUGAAUCAUGGGCGUUGGAAUAUAGGUGAGGAGAGGAGGAUAGGAAGGAGCUGAAGAGGAAAAUUUUGAUAGAUGGGGAUCAAAAGAUAGUUCUAAAACUGUUAAGCGUGGUCCAAUUAAUUCUGUAUGAACAAAUGUACCAUAAAAUUCUCUUGAACACAGCCAUGUAAUUAAUAAUUAACCCCUGAGACAAAUAAUUACUGGAGGUUUUUGACAAGGCAUGGCGUCUAUAAGGAUACUGUUUAUCCUCUGUAAAUCAAAUUUAACCCUACCAGGAAAUAUGUGUGAUAUAUUCUUGCUAUCUUCCAAGUAAGAAAAAAGACUGCUCAUUUCUUGGGUUACACUAUUUUCAUUAUUUCUCCCUUUCUAUUUUUUUAGUUAUAGCUGAAUGGGGCGUCAUUUGCAAAACGUCUCCAUCUCAACUGAAACAACAGUCGCGCGUUUGGGUCAAGGUGACAGGUGUUCUAUAUCGUCAGUAGCGAUUGUAUAGUGGCUGGAAGACAAAGAAAGCUCUCUGCGCAUUGCUUGUUGUAUAUGUUAGGAUUACGGAAAGGUGCGACUGUAAGAGUGCUAUGAUCCUGUGUGGUGCCUGCAACUCAUGUUGUGUGUCAUUCAGCAUUCCUACUUCUGCAUCAAUUGUUUUCAAGUUCAAUUUUAGGAUGGUAGACCAUUAGUGGCCGCCAAAAGAUAUUAGCUACCUAUCUGUAUAAUUUAAUCUGAGAUGUAAAAUGGAAAAAAAAUAAUUAACCACAUAGAAAACGCGCGCCAGCAAAGCUAAGUUUAUUAGUAGGAACUUGUUUCCAUGCCUAGGAAAAAAUGUGCACUGAACAUUAAGCAUCAUAUACAAAGAAAAGGGACAUGUUACGUGCCUAGCUUAAACUUAGAACGACUGCUCAUUUUCUCAAAAAUUGUUGUAUUAUAGACUUCUGGUAGCUAGUGCCCUAAAUUAAACAGAACUAGUGAAACAUGCUUGUUAAUCACACAUAUUAGUUUGAAGCCAAUUACUAAUGUAUGUCGUGUGGAGGAAGCACCAUUGGUGUGGUGAUGGCGUCAUGAAAUGCAUGACUGAAUGUUUUAAUUACUUCAUUUGUCCCAAAAAGAAAGAUACAUAUAUCUUGUUUAUUACUGUUGUACGUAUCUGUUAUUGAAUGGAAUUCUGAAUAACAUGAUCCACUUUGUUGUACAUGUCUUACUACAUCAUCUCUUGAUGUGUCGAUGGUGAAUCUGGCAAGUAAAAUAACCUGGUAUUUAUGACUUUAUGUUUGGUAAGCAUCAUCCAUUGUUUCUUCUGUCAUGUCUGAAUAUGUAGCUUCAUAUUUUGUGCUCACUUAUAUACCCUGGUGAUGUCUAUCUGAUGUAGGGUUGUUUGCUUAUGUUUAUGCUUUUCGUUCUUUUAUUUUCGAGGAUUAUACUUUUAGUUCUUGCCUCGGUGCCUCAUUCCCUGCUUGAACUCUCAUGCAGUUUCUCUUGAAGAAUUUUGACACGUUGGUAUACGUACCAUAAAUGCCAACAAAUUAAGAAUUCUUCUCUGGGCUGCCCAGAAAUCAUUGCCAGUUUUAUUACGACAAUUCAUUCUCCAGUCUGUACUCUGUUAAUUUUACACUGUGGAAUCAUCACCAUGUAAAUUUUGGACAUGGCUGUAUUUAUCUUUCACCUUGUGAAUCACUUAAUACAACCUGAUGAUUUGUGAUC